AGUGAACGCUGGCGGUAGGCCUAACACAUGCAAGUCGAACGGCAGCACAGUAAGAGCUUGCUCUUACGGGUGGCGAGUGGCGGACGGGUGAGGAAUACAUCGGAAUCUACUUUUUCGUGGGGGAUAACGUAGGGAAACUUACGCUAAUACCGCAUACGACCUACGGGUGAAAGCAGGGGAUCUUCGGACCUUGCGCGAUUGAAUGAGCCGAUGUCGGAUUAGCUAGUUGGCGGGGUAAAGGCCCACCAAGGCGACGAUCCGUAGCUGGUCUGAGAGGAUGAUCAGCCACACUGGAACUGAGACACGGCCCAGACUCCUACGGGAGGCAGCAGUGGGGAAUAUUGGACAAUGGGCGCAAGCCUGAUCCAGCCAUACCGCGUGGGUGAAGAAGGCCUUCGGGUUGUAAAGCCCUUUUGUUGGGAAAGAAAAGCAGCAGGUUAAUACCCCGCUGUUCUGGCGGUACCCAAAGAAUAAGCACCGGCUAACUUCGUG
rnacentral:rRNA from 1 species